AUCCAUAGAAUUAGGAGAUGGAGUAUCUGUGGCGAGAAAAAGCAAAAAGCUACCAGGGAGCUUGAGCUGGCUAUUCUCUUAUUCAUGGAAGUUCUGAGCGGUCGUGGCUAUGUUGAUAUGAUGUCUGUGCUGAGUUCAGCAUUGUUGUGGUGAGCUCCUGGGAAAAGAGGGCACCAGGUUGUCUAAGGAAGCAGCAAACUGGCCUAGGGUUA
rnacentral:lncRNA from 1 species